AUACGUACUGCGCAAACGUUAUUCGGAAUCACUGGGCUUACAGGGUGCGUAGGCGGUUCGCCAGGUCAGAUGUGAAAUCCCACAGCUCAACUGUGGAACUGCAUUUGAAACCUGCGAACUUGAGUAGACUAGAGGUACACGGAACUUCAGGUGGAGCGGUGAAAUGUGUUGAGAUCUGAAGGAACACCAGAGGCGAAAGCGGUGUACUGGAGUCUGUCUGACGCUGAGGCACGAAAGCUAGGGGAGCGAACGGGAUUAGAUACCCCAGUAGUCC
rnacentral:rRNA from 1 species